GCGUUGAAUCUCCUCGCUAUAUCAUCUUUCUCGCAACUCUCCUUUAUUCUAAUGAUUUAGGAUUCAGAGAAAUUAUUUCUCUCUCCUGAAAUGGCAAGUUCUCUUUCUCUCUUUAAUCUCCCAUUGUCUUUAUUGGAAUUAUCAUUGUUUUAAGUAAUUUAUCUGUGCGAUUUUGCGGGAUUGGCAUUGCAAAAAUAGUUGAUAUCCGAUUUUAAUUCCUCUAAGUUUGAUAUUUGUGCGAUUUCAAUUUUGUGUAAUGUGAAUUUCAGCAAUUACUAUUGAAGUGUGCUUGUCGUUGAAUCUCCUCGCAAAAGAUUCACAAGGAACUAGCAAGAAACUCAAAGUAAAGGUUAAGGAUGUGAUGUAUUUAUCUGGUGGAAAUUGUAUUGUGGUUGAAUUUGAUGAUAUGGAUCAACCAAUUGGAGAAUGGCAAGGUGUUCUUGCAGGCUUUUAUGAAAUUUUAGCAAACGACUACUCCUUAUUUCCAAUUCACUUCGACAAAUGGCCAGAUUUACCCAAGUCAUACUUCAAUGGUUGCUUUGAUUGAAUUAUAAAGCCGCGAUUUUGUUUUAGGACAACUAAGUUAAAUGCAUGAGAAUAUUUUUAUAGUUCUAUUGGAAAGAAGUGGAGCGCAGCUAGGCAAAGGUUGUGGUAUGAGUUCUCUGACCCACUUAAGACCAAAGCAGAGAUUAUGGAUAAUGUUCUAGUAGGGAUUCCACGGGAUCAAUGGACUUCUUAUGUUGCUUUCCGUUUUAAUGAAAAGACAAUGGUAUUUAUUUGAAUGCUUCAAUUGGUAUGUGUAAUUAUAUACUUUUUUAUUUGUAUAUUUGAGUUUUAUGUAUAUUUUUAUAAGGAAAUAAGUAAAAAAUGCUGAAAUUUGGAAGAAACAAAAUGUUGCACACACUGGUGGCUCCAAACCAAACUCCAGAAGAAGAGCUGAAAUGAUGUUCGAAUCUGGACAAAAGCCUGGACGAGCGCAACUCUAUCUUGCUACUCAUAAGAAGGAAGAUGUCUCAUAUGUUAAUGAAGCGGCAAGAGAAAUACGUGUAAAUUUUUACUUGUUAAAAGCUUCAUGUGUUGUGUUAGAUCACUAGAAACUAUAAUAUGAAGACAAAGUUGUAGCUCAU